rnacentral:tRNA from 1 species
GCCUGGCUGGCUCAGUCAGUGGAGCGUGCGACUCUUGAUCUCAGGGCUGUAGGUUCAAGCCCCACGUUGGGUG